UACGAAGGGGGCUAGCGUUGCUCGGAAUUACUGGGCGUAAAGCGCACGUAGGCGGAUUGUUAAGUCGGGGGUGAAAUCCUGGAGCUCAACCUCCAGAACUGCCUUCGAUACUGGCGAUCUCGAGUUCGGGAGAGGUGAGUGGAACUGCGAGUGUAGAGGUGAAAUUCGUAGAUAUUCGCAAGAACACCAGUGGCGAAGGCGGCUCACUGGCCCGAUACUGACGCUGAGGUGCGAAAGCGUGGGGAGCAAACAGG
rnacentral:rRNA from 1 species